rnacentral:rRNA from 1 species
UACGUAGGGGGCAAGCGUUGUCCGGAAUCAUUGGGCGUAAAGCGCGCGUAGGCGGCUCGAUCAGUCUGCUGUAAAAGUCAAAGGCUCAACCUUUGAAUGCCGGUGGAUACUGUCGGGCUAGAGUCCGGAAGAGGCGAGUGGAAUUCCUGGUGUAGCGGUGGAAUGCGCAGAUAUCAGGAGGAACACCGGUGGCGAAGGCGGCUCUCUGGGCCUUACCUGACGCUGAGGAGCGAAAGCGUGGGUAGCGAACAGG